AAUCAAAUUAGUCAAGUGUGUAAAUGUGAGUUUCACCGAUGAUGUGACAAUCACUCGUGUCCAUGAGAAAACAGCUGCUGGUGGGAUUACUUUACUCAUGACUCCUUUGCGGUAGGGCAAGGGGGUCAGAGGAAUCGGGACACAAUGGUUUUCUAAAUCCCGGCGAUGAUCCGAGAGGAAAUAUACAGACUGUGCAAUGUGAAAUAUCUAUCCGUCAUUGGUUAUCUAAGAGAGACGCAAGCAAACGAGUUUUUCUUACUGUCUGCUUCCUAGCGCUCUGUGGGUCACAUGAGCGGGACUGGCAGUUGCUGAGUCAACAUCACAAGUGGAACACUGGCCUCGAAGACACCACGCAAAGACUGUUUGUUACGUAGACUGUUGAGUAAUGCUCUCUAAUCAACUGUGUCUGGAAUUAGGCUUCAUACAUUCUCAGACAGUCUCAUUGGUCAGGUUGAUAAGCGGAUCGUAAUCUGCUUGCAUAUCGUUCAUAUCGGAUCAAUCUUUCGGUGCCAUUCCAUUAUACACGUCACAACUGUCGCUCAUAUUACAACUGAGCCGAUGAAUUAAAUUGAUGGAUCCUCCAUUAUUGUCACAAUUUCAUAUGACAAUCGCUGUACAAACAAAAAAUAAUAGUUGCAAAUUUGCAGGUCUCAGUAAAUAGGUCUUUCACAAAUUGUGAUCCUAAGUAAUCACAUUUGGAAAACAGCUCUUUAAAUAUUUGAUUGACUAGCCUGAGGUGUCAUUAGACAAUUGGAAUGAUUCCAGAAAUAUUUGUCUUUCAAAGAACUCUGCUGCAGUUGAUGCAAUCCUUGCAAAAAAACAAACAAACCCUACUUGAUUUCUGGUCGCCAAGUAUAUCCCGUUGGCUGGGUUUAGAGAUAUCACACGGCACACACUUGUCUGGUCUCAACAGACAAAGAUUCAAAUCUGGUUAUGUUCCUUCUGAGUGGCUUUAUUUGUGCUAGGCAUUGGCAUAAACACGGUGCAUCAUCCAAGACUAUAUGUACGAAAAUGCUUCCGCGACGACUUCCGCGACAUGUGAUAGCAGUUAAGGGGAAAAAAAUAACUCUGUUCCUCAACAUUCAAUCAGACGUGUGCCUUCGACGCGACCUUCUGAUGUUACAUAUUGCAAAGGGCUAUAGAUAGAUACCAUCGAACCAUUCAGACUUGAUUCAGAAAAAAUGACUAAAUGUGUGGGUGUGUUUCGUUCAGUCGUCUCGACCGACAGUCAUUCAUAGAGUCUACUUCACACUUGUCGGUUGUAUUGUUGUCUGUGGGUGUGCAAGUGUUGAGUUUGAAAAGGGUAUUUUUUUUGCGUGUGUUCGGGUCAAGGGGGUGCGAGAUAUUUCUAUUCCUGGUACCUUUACAGGCCACAUCAUCUAUGCGCCUUUGAAGAGUCCAUUGUUAGUCGUCAGGCGGCGAGUCGCAAAGACCUUUAGGCUACAAAUGGUGAUUAAUCUUUUCCACAUGCUAAUUUGCUACUGAUGUGUUUUCAAAAUUGUGCUUUUGAGAAAUUUGGUCAAAACAAUGACAACAUUUGUGAGGUUUUCAGAAAGGUUCAGAGUAUUAUGUUCAUGUGUGUGUAUCAGUUUAUGGCUUCAUCUCGAUGUUUGCCUAUCCUGUCUCUCAUACGUCAAUUUUAAUGUUACUUGUGUAGAGCAAAUAGAGCUAAUGGCUCAGCGGGUAAAUAGUGUGUUUUUAUGCUGCUACAGUCUGCAGAUGCAAAACAACCAUACCUUUAGCACUCAUCGUGUAAUCUACUGCUGUGAAACCUUUUAUUUAAUCAGCUUUAAUGACAUGCAGAAGUAUGCAGAAACUAAAUCAACAUCAGUUCAUUCUACCUCUCCUUUUGAAGUGACGUUCACUCACAUGUGCAGCACGUGACAUACACUUGAUCGGGACAUUGAUCUCAGAUUUCUAUCAUGGGAUGACUGCCACCGAGGUCCGUAAACCACGUGACAGCUGCAACCAAUCUCAAACGGUGAUACUUGUUUGUUUAAAGCGACGCAUCGGGGAAGGUAUGUGGUGAAACAGAGCUGGGAGGGACACAAAAGGUUGUGCGUGCUGACAAUGCAUUUUGAAAAGAUCACUCACCGAAGAUCUCCCCAUUCUUGGCAUACUCUGUG